AUUGAACGCUGGCGGCAUGCCUUACACAUGCAAGUCGAACGGCAGCACGGGAGCAAUCCUGGUGGCGAGUGGCGAACGGGUGAGUAAUAUAUCGGAACGUGCCCAGGUCGUGGGGGAUAACGUAGCGAAAGCUACGCUAAUACCGCAUACGAUCUAUGGAUGAAAGCGGGGGAUCGCAAGACCUCGCGCGAUUGGAGCGGCCGAUAUCAGAUUAGGUAGUUGGUGAGGUAAAGGCUCACCAAGCCGACGAUCUGUAGCUGGUCUGAGAGGACGACCAGCCACACUGGGACUGAGACACGGCCCAGACUCCUACGGGAGGCAGCAGUGGGGAAUUUGGACAAUGGGCGCAAGCCUGAUCCAGCAAUGCCGCGUGCAGGAUGAAGGCCUUCGGGUUGUAAACUGCUUUGUACGGAACGAAACGGUGAGCUCUAAUACAGUUUGCUAAUGACGGUACCGUAAGAAUAAGCACCGGCUAACUACGUG
rnacentral:rRNA from 1 species